rnacentral:lncRNA from 1 species
AUUCUUUAGUAAAUGGUGAUUAACACAGAUUUUCCCACCCAUUCUGAGAAGUCGAUCUAGGGCUUAGGAUCUGAACAAGUUGCUUUGCAUAGGCUCUGCUCUGAAGACUGAGGUGGGUCUGCCACUCUGUAGGCUGAAACACGAGCUCUGGAGACUGUCAUUUGCACUUGUGUCUAGAAGUGCCUGUCUUCUGACUAUCGUAUUCUUCCAUGGAGCACCGGGGUGGCAGAUCUCCAGGAGAACCCAUUCUGCCUUUCAUUGAGGUUGCCUUCCAUCCUGGAGUCAAGUUCUGCCCAACAUCACAGGAUUUAGUUGCCUCCUUCACUCCUUUUUGGCUACUAGGCUACUAUUCUAUAUACUAAGUAUCGCACUCUGAGUCUUCCUGGCCAAUAUAACUGGAUUGAGAAGCACCUAAAAGAUAGAUCUUUGGAACCUUCAUGAAACUACUUCCAUGUUGGAAUGUGGAAUUUGGGGAACUUGAAUCUGUAUUUCCUGGCUGUGACCACUCUCAUAUUUUGCUCCAGAAUAAACUAUCUCCUAUCUCUUUUGAGGGACCAAAUCCACGCCCUCAUUCAUGAUGCUCAAACCCUCUACCUCCGAGUCACAUCGCGGCCCUGUGAAUGCUUAUUCUCACGAGUGUCCUGAAGCCUCCUGGCAGAAUCUCUGGACUCAUUAAACAGUACCAGUGCCUGGGCCAGCAAGAUGGAUGGCUUGGUGGGUAAAGGUGCCUGCUACAGAGCCUGAGGAUGCCAGCCCAACCCCUGGAACCCACACGGUGGAAGAAAACUAACUUUAACAAGCUGUCUUUUGAUGUCCACAUGUGAGUUGAGGUGUGAGCCCCCCUCCUUAGCUAAACAGACCUAUGUAAUAAAAAAGUAAUUCAAACCAACAACUCUGGUGAUUUUCUGUUUCUGUCUCUCUAGCUGAGUCCACUCAGAUCUACUUCCUGUCUCUGACUAUACCUAUUCCAGGCACUCUGUGCAAUUAUGGAUACUGGUCCUCUUG